GUGUGUCUUUGAAGGGAAAUACUUACUGGUU
rnacentral:sRNA from 1 species